GGGGGUGUAGCUCAGUUGGGAGAGCGCCUGCCUUGCAAGCAGGAGGUCAGCGGUUCGAUCCCGCUCAUCUCCACCA
rnacentral:tRNA from 3 species